UGGUGAGGUAGAGGCGCAACGUUUAACGGUCCUUAGCGGAGUUUGAGAAGAUGAUGAUUCUAUGGAGAAGGAAAUGUUGCCGAAGUGUGGAAUGGCUCUCACCAUUUCAUGCUGGGUCUGCAGUUAAUAGCUGCAGGACUGUCACACUGGAUUUCCCGAUCCAUUGUGAAGUGCUAUCUCAUCC
rnacentral:ncRNA from 2 species